rnacentral:rRNA from 1 species
UCGUGGAUUAAUUUGUCUGGUUAAUUCCGUUAACGAACGAGACCUUAACUUGCUAAUUGGAAUGCAAUAUUAUAUAUUGUAUUCUGUUAGAAGGACCAUGUGUGUCUAACACAAGGAAGCGUGAGGCAAUAACA